rnacentral:rRNA from 1 species
AGUGAACGCUGGCGGUAGGCCUAACACAUGCAAGUCGAACGGCAGCACAGUAAGAGCUUGCUCUUACGGGUGGCGAGUGGCGGACGGGUGAGGAAUACAUCGGACUCUACUUUUUCGUGGGGGAUAACGUAGCGAAACUUACGCUAAUACCGCAUACGACCUACGGGUGAAAGCAGGGGAUCUUCUGACCUUGCGCGAUUGAAUGAGCCGAUGUCGGAUUGGCUAGUUGGCGGGGUAAAGGCCCACCAAGGCGACGAUCCGUAGCUGGUCUGGGAGGAUGAUCGGCCACACUGGAACUGAGACACGGUCCAGAGUCCUACGGGAGGCAGCAGUGGGGAAUAUUGGACAAUGGGCGCAAGCCUGAUCCAGCCAUACCGCGUGGGUGGAGAAGGCCUUCGGGUUGUAAAGCCCUUUUGUUGGGAAAGAAAAGCAGCAGGUUAAUACCCCGCUGUUCUGACGGUAACCAAAGAAUAAGCACCGGCUAACUUCGUG